rnacentral:tRNA from 1 species
GCCUGGGUGGCUCAGUCGGUGGAGCGUCCGACUUCGGCUCAGGUCAUGAUCUCGAGGUCUGUGAGUUCAAGUCCCGCAUCGGGCU